AGAGCGCGCAUCACAGGGCCCCCACUCUGGUGUGAGCGUUCUGUGAUCGCCCUUGUAUACAAGAUCUGGCACACUGUUUCCUGACGCCGUGGAGCCAGCACCGAAGUCUGUGCACAGCCCUCUUAGACGAGGAGGACCCGGGACGUUCGAGUCCGGGCCGGUCUGGUCCACGGCGGCGGGAUUCAGUCUGACGAUCCGAACCACCAGUGAGAUGUCUGAGGGUGAGAAACACUAUUUUGAUAUAUAAAACCGCCGAGGUUUUCAGAAAUGCGCAAAAUAGGUUUGCUGUAGCCGGAAUUACUUCGUGAAAUGCGCAAAAUAGGUUAGAAGUAGCCGCAAUUACUUUGUGAAAAAUAAAAUAGGUUAGGAUUCGCCGCAAGGAACCGAAUUAGACCUAGGUUUUAGAGGUAGCCGUAAUUACUUCGUAACAAAUUGUAUAAGGGCGCAAAUGUCUAUGUGUGUGUACGUGUCUGGAAGUAAGUUGAUUUUACAGCACAAUACGCUGCUGAACUACUUCUAUUUUUGUUUUUUGCUGAGGCUCAAGUACUGGUGACAAAGGAGAACGGUUGGGUUUCAUCUCGUAAAACUGAUACCGCUUCAUUUUUUAGAAUUGAAGUCGAAGGGCGUAUCAGUAAACCACUCUGAAGUCAAGCGUGCCAGUGACGGCCCAGCAAAA